rnacentral:rRNA from 1 species
AUUGAACGCUGGCGGCAUGCUUUACACAUGCAAGUCGAACGGCAGCGCGGGGGCAACCCUGGCGGCGAGUGGCGAACGGGUGAGUAAUGCAUCGGAACGUAUCCUGUAAUGGGGGAUAACGUAGCGAAAGUUACGCUAAUACCGCAUACGCUCGAGAGAGGAAAGUGGGGGAUCGCAAGACCUCACGUUAUAGGAGCGGCCGAUGUCCGAUUAGCUAGUUGGUGGGGUAAAGGCUUACCAAGCCUGCGAUCUGUAGCUGGUCUGAGAGGAUGAUCAGCCACACUGGGACUGAGACACGGCCCAGACUCCUACGGGAGGCAGCAGUGGGGAAUUUUGGACAAUGGGCGAAAGCCUGAUCCAGCCAUUCCGCGUGCAGGAUGAAGGCCCUCGGGUUGUAAACUGCUUUUGUACGGAACGAAAAGGCUCUUGCUAAUACCAGGAGUCCAUGACGGUACCGUAAGAACUAAGCACCGGCUAACUACGUGCCAGCAGCCG